UGAAAACUUCGGAAGGGUUUCUGAGGCUCAGACGCAACCGAUCUACUGGUUCCAGUAUAUUUAUUCUAAAGAAAAACAGUACAAGGAGAGUGGAAAGAAAUUUUGAAAACAGAUCGGAAGGCCCAAAGCAAUAUACCGAGAAUCUCUUCAUGCCUCGCAUGCCGAUCCGAGGCCAAUAUCGAGAUCCAGCAUUGGAAGAGACAGUUAUUUUGUUUCGAGUCUAAGGAAAGCCAAGAGCUAAUAGUUUUUGUCAAACUUCCGGUGAAAAAAUGCUGCUGAAAACAUUUGCCAAAGUUAUGACAAGCCAAGCCUUUGCAACUGGAUGAAUAAAAAUUUUAACAAAUCAAAUUUGAAGAUUAAAUAAAUAUUAACCCUUUUCAAAAUGACAUUAUGACAGAUUCCAACAGAAUAUCAUUUGUUAACACAUUGGCGAAAUGUGAUUAUUCAAUAAAUUUUUCGUCCUUUUGACUACCGCAUUUUUAUACUUACCUGGCAUAGGGGUUACCGUGAUCAGACUAACACAUUUUUUCUAAAGCCAAGUGUUCAAACGAAACUUGACUAAUUGUAGAUUUGUCCACGAUCCUGAAAGUUCUACGAUAAUUAUAUUGCCCUUUGAAUUGCAUCAACAUUUUUCAUCG